rnacentral:pre_miRNA from 1 species
AAAGUACUCCCUCCGUCCCAAAAUUCUUGUCUUAGAUUUGUCUAGAUACGGAUGUAUCAAGUCACAUUUUAGUAUUAGAUACAUCCGUAUCUAGACAAAUCUAAGAAAAGAAAUUUGGGACAGAGGGAGUAGUUC